UUCCAGCUCCAAUAGCGUAUAUUAAAGUUGUUGCAGUUAAAAAGCUCGUAGUUGAACUUCAGACCUGGCUGGGUGGUCCGCUUAACGGCGUGUACUGCUUGGCUGGGCCUUACUUCUUGGUGAGCCGGCGUGCCCUUUAUUGGUGUGCGUCGGGGAACCAGGACUUUUACCUUGAGAAAAUUAGAGUGUUCAAAGCAGGCCUAUGCCUGAAUACAUUAGCAUGGAAUAAUAGAAUAGGACGUGCGGUUCUAUUUUGUUGGUUUCUAGAGUCGCAGUAAUGAUUAAUAGGGACAGAUGGGGGCAUUCGUAUUGCGACGUUAGAGGUGAAAUUCUUGGAUCGUCGCAAGACGGACAGAAGCGAAAGCAUUUGCCAAAAAUGUUUUCAUUAAUCAAGAACGAAAGUUAGGGGUUCGAAGGCGAUCAGAUACCGCCCUAGUUCUAACCAUAAACGAUGCCAGCUAGCGAUCCGCCGAAGUUCCUCCGAUGACUCGGCGGGCAGCUUCCGGGAAACCAAAGCUUUUGGGUUCCGGGGGAAGUAUGGUUGCAAAGCUGAAACUUAAAGGAAUUGACGGAAGGGCACCACCAGGAGUGGAGCCUGCGGCUUAAUUUGACUCAACACGGGAAACCUCACCAGGCCCAGACACCGGAAGGAUUGACAGAUUGAUAGCUCUUUCUUGAUUCGGUGGGUGGUGGUGCAUGGCCGUUCUUAGUUGGUGGAGCGAUUUGUCUGGUUAAUUCCGAUAACGAACGAGACUCUAGCCUGCUAAAUAGGCGUACCUUAUGGUAUCGCGAAGGCCCCCGGCUUCGGCCGGUGGGUUUUUACUACCAACG
rnacentral:rRNA from 1 species